rnacentral:lncRNA from 1 species
ACAAAACUCUUUGGAUCAAAUAGCUCGCUCUAACUAUGAGAGCCAACAGAAUAGUUUGGGGAGUGGGAGGAUGUAAGCAGCUCAUCUGACAUUCUGCUAAGUUAGCAGAUUUCUUUCUUCCCAUGUGGACCGCAGAAAAUGGGCAGUUGGAACGAUGGGUUGGCUUAGGAGCAGGUCUGCAGAGUGUUGGGACAAAUUAGCCAGCAUGCUGGGUAUUGUAAAGGGUGGGGACCCUUGAGAAGACCAUCGUAUUCAAGUUUAAUAUGACACCUUAGAGAGUUAACACGUUGGU